rnacentral:rRNA from 1 species
AGAGUUUGAUCAUGGCUCAGAUUGAACGCUGGCGGAAUGCUUUACACAUGCAAGUCGAGCGGCAGCGCGGGGCAACCUGGCGGCGAGCGGCGAACGGGUGAGUAACGCAUCGGAACGUACCUUGUAGUGGGGGAUAACUGGCCGAAAGGACAGCUAAUACCGCAUACGACCUGAGGGUGAAAGGGGGGGAUCGCAAGACCUCUCGCUAUAAGAGCGGCCGAUGUUCGAUUAGCUAGUUGGUGGGGUAAAGGCCUACCAAGGCGACGAUCGAUAGCUGGUCUGAGAGGACGACCAGCCACACUGGAACUGAGACACGGUCCAGACUCCUACGGGAGGCAGCAGUGGGGAAUUUUGGACAAUGGGGGCAACCCUGAUCCAGCCAUUCCGCGUGAGUGAAGAAGGCCUUCGGGUUGUAAAGCUCUUUCGGCAGGAACGAAACGGUGGUCCCUAAUACGGAUUGCUAAUGACGGUACCUGAAGAAGAAGCACCGGCUAACUACGUGCCAGCAGCCGCGGUAAUACGUAGGGUGCGAGCGUUAAUCGGAAUUACUGGGCGUAAAGCGUGCGCAGGCGGUUUUGUAAGACAGAUGUGAAAUCCCCGGGCUUAACCUGGGAACUGCGUUUGUGACUGCGAGACUAGAGUAAGGCAGAGGGGGGUGGAAUUCCGCGUAGCAGUGAAAUGCGUAGAUAUGCGGAGGAACACCGAUGGCGAAGGCAGCCCCCUGGGCUAUUACUGACGCUCAUGCACGAAAGCGUGGGGAGCAAACAGGAUUAGAUACCCUAGUAGUCC